rnacentral:antisense_RNA from 1 species
UGUGGGAGCGGGCUUGCUCGCGAAAGCGGUGGGUCAGUCAAAUUCAUGUUGAAGCUGAUGGCCUCUUCGCGAGCAAGCCCGCUCCCACA